AUGAACGCUAGCGGCAGGCUUAACACAUGCAAGUCGAGGGGUAAAUAGUUUUCGGAUUAUUGAGACCGGCGCACGGGUGCGUAACGCGUAUGCAAUCUACCUUUUACAGAGGGAUAGCCCAGAGAAAUUUGGAUUAAUACCUCAUAGUAUUGUUGACUGGCAUCAUUUAACAAUUAAAGUUCCAACGGUAAAAGAUGAGCAUGCGUCCCAUUAGUUAGUUGGUAAGGUAACGGCUUACCAAGACAAUGAUGGGUAGGGGUCCUGAGAGGGAGAUCCCCCACACUGGUACUGAGACACGGACCAGACUCCUACGGGAGGCAGCAGUGAGGAAUAUUGGACAAUGGGCGCAAGCCUGAUCCAGCCAUGCCGCGUGCAGGAAGAAGCAUCUAUGGUGUGUAAACUGCUUUUGUACGGGAAGAAACAUCACUACGUGUAGUGACUUGACGGUACCGUAAGAAUAAGGAUCGGCUAACUCCGU
rnacentral:rRNA from 1 species